AUUGAACGCUGGCGGAAUGCUUUACACAUGCAAGUCGAACGGCAGCACGGACUUCGGUCUGGUGGCGAGUGGCGAACGGGUGAGUAAUGUAUCGGAACGUGCCCAGUCGUGGGGGAUAACGUAGUGAAAAUUACGCUAAUACCGCAUACGAUCUAUGGAUGAAAGCGGGGGAUCGCAAGACCUCGCGCGAUUGGAGCGGCAGAUAUCAGAUUAGGUAGUUGGUGGGGUAAAGGCCCACCAAGCCAACGAUCUGUAGCUGGUCUGAGAGGACGACCAGCCACACUGGAACUGAGACACGGUCCAGACUCCUACGGGAGGCAGCAGUGGGGAAUUUUGGACAAUGGGCGGAAGCCUGAUCCAGCCAUUCCGCGUGCAGGAUGAAGGCCCUCGGGUUGUAAACUGCUUUUGUACAGAACGAAAAGGUUUCUACUAAUACUAGGAGCUCAUGACGGUACUGUAAGAAUAAGCACCGGCUAACUACGUGCCAGCCGCCGCGGUAA
rnacentral:rRNA from 1 species